rnacentral:rRNA from 1 species
GACGAACGCUGGCGGCGUGCUUAACACAUGCAAGUCGUACGGUAAGGCCCUUUCGGGGGUACACGAGUGGCGAACGGGUGAGUAACACGUGAGUAACCUGCCCACAACUUUGGGAUAACGCUAGGAAACUGGUGCUAAUACUGGAUAUGUGCUCCUGCUGCAUGGUGGGGGUUGGAAAGCUCCGGCGGUUGUGGAUGGACUCGCGGCCUAUCAGCUUGUUGGUGGGGUAGUGGCCUACCAAGGCGGCGACGGGUAGCCGGCCUGAGAGGGUGACCGGCCACAUUGGGACUGAGGUACGGCCCAGACUCCUACGGGAGGCAGAAGUGGGGAAUAUUGCACAAUGGGCGCAAGCCUGAUGCAGCAACGCCGCGGGCGGGAUGACGGCCUUCGGGUUGUAAACCGCUUUCAGCAGGGACGAAGCUUUUUGUGACGGUACCCGCAGAAGAAGCACCGGCUAACUACGUG